UCACCCUCUGUCCCCUGCAGGAGGAGAGGCCUUCUUCAAGUACAGCCCCGGGAAGCUGCGCGGCAGCCAGUACAAGAGGAUGAUGACCAAGGAGGAGCUGGAGGAGGAGCAGAGAGUUCAGAAAGAGCAGCUGGCGGCCAUCUUCAAGCUCAUGGAGGACAACAAGGAGACGUUCGGCGAGAUGUCCCACGGCGACGUGCAGGAGCAGCUCCGGCUCUACGACAUGUAGGCUGCCACCUCCGCCCGGCGACGCGUCCCCACUGCUGUGCCGUGACGCUGCCUGACCCGACACCAGCCCUUGUCACGUCGACUUUCGUAGGAAGAGGUUCAUCAUGUACAGAUCUGCUCAGUCCUCGCAGCCUCUGUUAUGUUACAGGAAUCAGGACUGUGGUGUUCAGGGGAGAAAGGCCCGGCUCCUCUGGCUUCUGCCCAUGGGUGAGGCCCCAGCUGUCCCAUAGGUAACCCUCCCAGGCCCCAGCUGUUCCAUAGGUAACCCUCCCAGGCCCCAGCUGUCCCAUAGGUAACCCUCCCAGGCCCCAGCUGUUCCAUAGGUAACCCUCCCAGGCCCCAGCUGUCCCAUAGGUAACCCUUCAGGUUCCAGAGGCUCCAGCUGGUCCAUAGGUAACCCUCCAGGCCCCAGCUGUUCCAUAGGUAACCCUUCAGGCUCCAGCUGGUCCAUAGGUAACCCUCCCAGGCUCCAGCUGGUCCAUAGGUAACCCUCCCAGGCCCCAGCUGUUCCAUAGGUAACCCUUCAGGUUCCAGAGGCUCCAGCUGUUACACAGGUAACUCUCCCAGACUGUCUUCCACUCCCGACUGAACCCUCCACGCAGCCCCAGGGCAGACGUGGCCCAGGAGGGUUGACCUGAAGGCUCAGCCCCCCGCACACAUGUGGAAGGAUCCCUGGUGCUGGGGGAAGAUGUGUAUCAGGGCUGCGGCCUGCAUGUCCAGUCUGGUAACACUACACGCUCACUCUGCCUUAGAAGGACUUCUGGAAGCUUCUGUGACUGUAGGGAAGCAAGCAGUGGGGGAGCACUCUUUCAGCAAAGAGGCUAAUUCAACCCCACUGUCCAUCCUGGAACAAAGCAACCGUCUCAGGGUUAAGCCCCUCUCAGCAUUUCCCUCACGUAAGCAUGAGACUGACUUUACGUAUAACUAAGCACCUUAUAAAGCACCUGGCACUAUGCCAGACACAACAGACAGAAGACACAAACCCUGGGCACGCGCCUGCCUUCAGGGAGGUGAAAGCGCUUUAGAGAAGAAGGCACGGCACAGGGGAGGAACCUCCCAGGCAGCAUUCAAGAAAACGCUAAAACAUAAAGUCAAUAAAACCUCAGAACAGUCGGGGGCCCCUCAUGGGAGCAUUUCUGGGGGGCGCAGGCUGUGUCUGAUCUCCCCGCCGGCGGAACAUUUCAGAGCCAAGUGAGUUAGGAAGAAGCCAUGAUGUUCUUAUAUUUUUUAUUUGCUGGAAUAAAACGAAAUCAACACACAGAAUUAAAAGAGGCCAGGGCAUAUUGAGGCCCUGAAGUCAGCAACGCUGGGACAGGCACCUCCUCUCAUCUCCCGUCGCUAGACCCGUUCUCGGGCCUCCUCCACCUGCUGCUGGAAUUCCUUUGGCUUCUUUGCUGACAGUAGGCAUGGCGGGCGGGCUGCUCUCUCGCCCGGGGUUAUACUCAAAUGUCAGUGCUUUUUACUCUUAAAAAUUAUUUUUAUCUUUUUUGCCAAGCUUUUAAAAAUUUUAUGAUUUG